GAUUUAUUCUCCAUUGGUUAGAAGCAUAGAUUGACAACUAAUGCCAAUACUUUGAGAACCAAAAUAUGGUAAAUCUAUGUGAUUAAAACUUAUGUAACUAUUAUAUAUGAGAAAAUCAAUAUUUUGACUUGAAUGACCAAAUGAAUAGUAACUUUACAUAUUAAGUACAAAUAUUCAAAAAAUAACUUUGUAAUAUGCUCUAGUAGGCCUAGUGUGAUUGGUU
rnacentral:misc_RNA from 1 species